AUUGAACGCUGGCGGCAGGCCUAACACAUGCAAGUCGAGCGGGGUUUUCGGACCCAGCGGCGGACGGGUGAGUAAUGCGUAGGAAGCUACCCGAUAGAGGGGGAUACCAGUUGGAAACGACUGUUAAUACCGCAUAAUGUCUACGGACCAAAGUGUGGGACCUUCGGGCCACAUGCUAUCGGAUGCGCCUACGUGGGAUUAGCUAGUUGGUGAGGUAAUGGCUCACCAAGGCGACGAUCCCUAGCUGGUUUGAGAGGAUGAUCAGCCACACUGGAACUGAGAAACGGUCCAGACUCCUACGGGAGGCAGCAGUGGGGAAUAUUGGACAAUGGGCGCAAGCCUGAUCCAGCCAUGCCGCGUGUGUGAAGAAGGCCUUCGGGUUGUAAAGCACUUUCAGUAGGGAGGAAGCGUUGUGUGUUAAUAGUACACAGCGUUGACGUUACCUACAGAAGAAGCACCGGCUAACUCUGUGCCAGCCGCCGCAGUAAAAC
rnacentral:rRNA from 1 species